GAACGCAUCUUGCGCUCCUUGGUAUUCUGAGGAGCAUGCCUGUUUGAGUGUCAUUAAAUUCUCAACCACACUGACUUUUGAUUGGUGUGGCUUGGAUUUGGGAUUGUGGGCUAUUGUAGUAGUCUGCUCCCCUGAAAUUGAUUAGCAGUGCCUUGGUGGAACUGUCUACAGGUGUGAUAAUUAUCUACAUCCUAGACAUCUGCUUGAUGCUGCUUUCUAAACCUUACCUCUAUUGACAAUCUUGACCUCAAAUCAGGUAGGACUACCCGCUUAACUUAAG
rnacentral:misc_RNA from 1 species